rnacentral:tRNA from 1 species
GCCUGGGUGGCUCAGUCUGUUGAGUGUCUGACUUCGGCUCAGGUCAUGAUCUCGCGGUCUGUGGGUUCAAGCCCCGUGUCGGGCU